UUCUGGUUGAUCCUGCCGGACCUGACUGCUAUCGGAUUGAUACUAAGCCAUGCGAGUCUUUGUAGUAAUACAAGGCAUACGGCUCAGUAACGCGUAGUCAACCUACCCUAUGGACAAGAAUAAUCUCGGGAAACUGAGCAUAAUUCUUGAUAGAUCAUAAUGCCUGGAAUGGUUUAUGGUUAAAAUGAUUCGUCGCCAUAGGAUGGGACUGCGGCCUAUCAGCUUGUUGGUGAGGUAAUGGCCCACCAAGGCGAUUACAGGUACGGGCUCUGAGAGGAGAAGCCCGGAGAUGGGUACUGAGACAAGGACCCAGGCCCUAUGGGGCGCAGCAGGCGAGAAAACUUUGCAAUGUGCGAAAGCACGACAAGGUUAGUCCGAGUGAUUUCUGCUAAAGAGAUCUUUUGCUAGUUAUAAAACCACUAGUGAAUAAGGGGUGGGCAAGUUCUGGUGUCAGCCGCCGCGGUAAAACCAGCACCUCAAGUGGUCAGGAUGAUUAUUGGGCCUAAAGCAUCCGUAGCCGGCUCUGUAAGUUUUCGGUUAAAUCUAUGCGCUCAACGUAUGGGCUGCCGAAAAUACUGUAGAGAUAGGGAGUGGGAGAGGUAGACGGUACUCGGUAGGAAGGGGUAAAAUCCUUUGAUCUAUCGAUGACCACCUG
rnacentral:rRNA from 1 species